UACAGAGGGGGCAAGCGUUGUUCGGAAUUACUGGGCGUAAAGGGCGCGUAGGCGGCCCGCUAAGUCGAACGUGAAAUCCCCGGGCUCAACCCGGGAACUGCGUCCGAUACUGGCAGGCUUGAAUCCGGGAGAGGGAUGUGGAAUUCCAGGUGUAGCGGUGAAAUGCGUAGAUAUCAGGAAGAACACCCGUGGCGAAGGCGGCUUUCUGGGACGGUACUGACGCUGAGACGCGAAAGCGUGGGGAGCGAACAGG
rnacentral:rRNA from 1 species